rnacentral:rRNA from 1 species
CGGAGGGUGCAAGCGUUAUCCGGGUUCACUGGGUUUAAAGGGAGCGUAGGUGGGAUGGUAAGUCAGUGGUGAAAUCUCCGGGCUUAACUCGGAAACUGCCGUUGAUACUAUCAUUCUUGAAUAUUGUGGAGGUAAGCGGAAUAUGUCAUGUAGCGGUGAAAUGCUUAGAUAUGACAUAGAACACCGAUAGCGAAGGCAGCUUGCUACACAAUUAUUGACACUGAGGCUCGAAAGCGUGGGGAUCAAACAGGAUUAGAUACCCCGGUAGUCCACGCCCUAAACGAUGGAUACUCGACAUACGCGAUACACAGUGUGUGUCUGAGCGAAAGCAUUAAGUAUCCCACCUGGGAAGUACGACCGCAAGGUUG